GCUAUUGGGACUACAAUAGCUUGGCCAUCUGACAAAGUUGUUAUGCUUUGAAAAUCUACAGUCCAAUAUUGGUGAAGAUGAUGACCUCCCUCAAUUCAAUAGCAAUGUAGUAAAUUAGUUAUUAUGUUUUUGCAGUUUGUUAAAUUUUAGUAAGUAGUCCAUAAUGGACCUAGACACAACUUGUUGGUUGGACUAGUUUUUGAAUUUCUUGUAUGCUACAAAUUAAUUAUGUAUCAUUUUGAACUAUUAAAUGAAUUAUUUUGUUUAUGGCUGUCAA